UUAUCAGUAUUAUCCUGACACACUGUGGUGUUUUAUAGAGAGAAUUAGGAUCCUUAACAGUGCUGCUGUGCCUUAGCAGCAGCACUACACUAUGGAUCGUGACCUAUACAAUCAUUCAUAAGUCUCCAAGUGUUGUGUGUGCUCUUGAUCCAAAACAUGCCUCGCUGAGUCUUUUGGGCCUGAGGAUCUGGAACUGGAGGAACGAGAGUUCUUGCUGCUUUGCUGGACUAAUCAGGCAGAAAGUGCCAAGCUCUCAAAAGCUAGAAAUAAUGAACACUUUCUGGAAUGUACAACGGUGGCCACGUAGUACCCUCUGGGUGUGUGGAAAAGACAGAGUCUUUUCAAAGUGGAAGAGAUCUGAUCUAGAGUGCCGAGGUCUGCAAGAUAACUGCAAAUGAUCCUAUUUAAAAAGAAAAAUACACAAAAUGCAAACAGAAUCAACAUCUCAACUUCUUCUCCUCCCAUCCAAUGUUUCACUGUUGGGAAACAGUACAGAAGACUGUGAGAGAGCCUGUACCACAUCAGUACCUUUUGGGGGAAGGAUUCCCUCAUGCCGAACACAAGCUAACAGCUAUAAACAUGUCCAUUAAUGAGAUUGAGAUGCAAGUGGUGAAGUUUGAAAGAUUGUUUGA